AAAGACCAGCAUUUCACAAAGGUAUAAGCAUGGCAAGGUCAAAUAAGCAUACAUGUUCAAUCAUUCUAGCACAAAACGUUAUCCAGCCAAGCACAACUUGCAAAAUCAUGGUGAUAAAAAACUAGAGAGAAUAAGGAUCAUAAUGCAAAAAACCUGGUAAUUUUUGGAUGAGUUUUCAAAUAGUUAUGAAUUUUACAAGAUGAGAAAAA
rnacentral:lncRNA from 1 species